GUUCACUUCAGCAACACAUAUUAAACUGGAAGGAUACAAAGAAGAUUAGCAUGGUUCCUGCAAAUGAAUGACACUCAAAUUAGCAAAGCAUUCUAUAUGCUU